rnacentral:tRNA from 1 species
GAAUAAUUAGCUCAAUUGGUAGAGUAUUUCGUUUACACCGAAAAUGUUAGCGUUCGAGUCCUUAUUAUUCA